AUUGAACGCUGGCGGCAGGCCUAACACAUGCAAGUCGAACGGUAACAGGAAGCAGCUUGCUGCUUCGCUGACGAGUGGCGGACGGGUGAGUAAUGUCUGGGAAGCUGCCUGAUGGAGGGGGAUAACUACUGGAAACGGUAGCUAAUACCGCAUAAUGUCGCAAGACCAAAGAGGGGGACCUUCGGGCCUCUUGCCAUCGGAUGUGCCCAGAUGGGAUUAGCUUGUUGGUGGGGUAACGGCUCACCAAGGCGACGAUCCCUAGCUAGUCUGAGAGGAUGACCAGCCACACUGGAACUGAGACACGGUCCAGACUCCUACGGGAGGCAGCAGUGGGGAAUAUUGCACAAUGGGCGCAAGCCUGAUGCAGCCAUGCCGCGUGUAUGAAGAAGGCCUUCGGGUUGUAAAGUACUUUCAGCGGGGAGGAAGGGAGUAAAGUUAAUACCUUUGCUCAUUGACGUUACCCGCAGAAGAAGCACCGGCUAACUCCGU
rnacentral:rRNA from 1 species